rnacentral:rRNA from 1 species
CCUGGCGGCGAGCGGCGAACGGGUGAGUAAUGCAUCGGAACGUGUCCCGUAAUGGGGGAUAACGCCGCGAAAGCGGCGCUAAUACCGCAUAUGCUCUGUGGAGGAAAGUGGGGGACCUCGCAAGGGGCCUCACGUUAGGGGAGCGGCCGAUGUCCGAUUAGCUUGUUGGUGGGGUAACGGCCUACCAAGGCUGCGAUCGGUAGCUGGUCUGAGAGGAUGAUCAGCCACACUGGGACUGAGACACGGCCCAGACUCCUACGGGAGGCAGCAGUGGGGAAUUUUGGACAAUGGGGGCAACCCUGAUCCAGCCAUGCCGCGUGCGGGAAGAAGGCCUUCGGGUUGUAAACCGCUUUUAGCCGGGAAGAAAGGGCGCAGGCGAAUACCCUGCGUCGUUGACGGUACCGGCGGAAUAAGCAC